AGCGAACGCUGGCGGCAGGCCUAACACAUGCAAGUCGAACGGACCCUUCGGGGUUAGUGGCGGACGGGUGAGUAACACGUGGGAACGUGCCUUUAGGUUCGGAAUAGCUCCUGGAAACGGGUGGUAAUGCCGAAUGUGCCCUUCGGGGGAAAGAUUUAUCGCCUUUAGAGCGGCCCGCGUCUGAUUAGCUAGUUGGUGAGGUAACGGCUCACCAAGGCGACGAUCAGUAGCUGGUCUGAGAGGAUGACCAGCCACACUGGGACUGAGACACGGCCCAGACUCCGCGGGGGGGAGGCGGGGGGGAAUUUUGAGAAAGGGGCGAAGGCGGGACGACGCCAGGCCGGGGAAAGGAGGAGGGUUUUAGGAUUGAAAAUUUUUUUCCCGGGGGAGGAUAAUGACGGACCCGGGAGAAGAACCCCCGCCUACCUUCGUG
rnacentral:rRNA from 1 species